rnacentral:rRNA from 1 species
AACGAACGCUGGCGGCAUGCCUAACACAUGCAAGUCGAACGAGACCUUCGGGUCUAGUGGCGCACGGGUGUGUAACGCGUGGGAAUCUGCCCUUGGGUUCGGAAUAACUGUUGGAAACGACUGCUAAUACCGGAUGAUGACGUAAGCCCAAUGAUUUAUUGCCCAAGGUUGAGCCCUCGUAGGAUUAGCUAGUUGGUUUGGUAAAGGCUCACUAAGGCGAGGAUCCUUAGCUGGUCAGUGAGAAUGGUCAGCCACACUGAGAGUAAGACGCGGCCCGGACUCCUACGGGAGGCGGGAAAGGGGGAUAGUGGAAAGUGGGGGGAGGCAUGAACCAGCACGGACGGGUAAGUGAUGAAGGCAUUAGAGAAGUAAAGCGCUUUUACCCGGGAAGAUAAUGACGGUACCGGGAGAAUAAGCUCCGGCUAACUCCGUG